rnacentral:rRNA from 1 species
UAUCCCAAGCCGCGUGAGCGGCUGAGCAGUUGGGGGGAAAAAUUGCGAUCCAACGGGGAAGUAAGCAAAAUGAACCCCAUAUCUAACCCCCCGGAUGGGAAGGACCUGCCCCCAAUGGCUUAUACACCUUCCUUUACUUUCGGGGUGAAAAGUUCUCAGCCGUGGGCGUGAGUUGGUGGUAUCCUAGGGAAAAAGGAUGGACCUUUACUUUGGCCCCAGAAUUUUUAGUUAAAUUUCGGCGGAAAAAGAAGGUUUAUCCUUCAUGGAUUUUGAUUUUAAAGGGGUGCGUAGGUUGUAUUCCAUUCUCAGCGGGGAACUUUCCUCCCAUAAAACUAAAACGAGCGUUGGGGAGCGAACAGGAUUAGAUACCUGGUAGUCACGCCGUAAACGAUGAUCACUCGCUGUGCGAUACACAGUCAGCGGCUAAGCAAAAGCAUUAAGUGAUCACCUGGGGAGUACGGCCGCAAGGCUGAAACUCAAAGGAAUUGACGGGGGCCCGCACAAGCGGAGGAACAUGUGGUUUAAUUCGAUGAUACGCGAGGAACCUUACCUGGGCUUAAAUGUAUAGUGCAUUCCGCCGAAAAGUGGAUUUCCUUCGGGACUCUAUGCAAGGUGCUGCAUGGUUGUCGUCAGCUCGUGCCGUGAGGUGUCGGGUUAAGUCCCAUAACGAGCGCAACCCUUAUCGUUAGUUGCCAGCGGGUCAUGCCGGGGACUCUAGCGAAACUGCCGGUGUAAACCGAGAGGAAGGUGGGGAUGACGUCAAAUCAGCACGGCCCUUAUGUCCAGGGCUACACACGUGUUACAAUGGCCGGUACAGAGGGCAGCUACCUGAUGACAGGAUGCGAAUCUCGAAAGCCGGUCUCAGUUCGGAUCGGAGUCUGCAACUCGACUCCGUGAAGCUGGAUUCGCUAGUAAUCGCGCAUCAGCCAUGGCGCGGUGAAUACGUUCCCGGGCCUUGUACACACCGCCCGUCAAGCCAUGGAAGUUGGGGGUACCUGAAGUCCGUACCCGCAAGAGCGGCCUAAGGGAAAUUCCCG